rnacentral:rRNA from 1 species
UCUAACCUACGGGGGGCAGCAGUGAGGAAUAUUGGUCAAUGGGAGAGAUCCUGAACCAGCCAAGCCGCGUGAGUGAAGACGGCCUUCGGGUUGUAAAGCUCUGUCGCAGGGGACGAAAAUGACGGUACCCUGCAAGAAAGCUCCGGCUAACUACGUGCCAGCAGCCGCGGUAAUACGUAGGGAGCAAGCGUUGUCCGGAAUUACUGGGUGUAAAGGGAGCGUAGGCGGGCGGAUAAGUUGAAUGUGAAAUCCAUGGGCUCAACCCAUGGAUGCGUUCAAAACUGUUCUUCU